ensembl:lncRNA
CCUCCACCUCGAGUCCCCCGCCAGCAGAAGGUGCUGGCGGGGGACGUGGAGAAGCCGUCCUGCAGCUCCUCCAGCCCUGGUUCACCCAGGAGCAGAAAGGGGAGCUGGCCAAGGCGCACCCCUUGGUCCAGCAGCACCCCGUACUGCCGGAGACACACAGACAGGUUUCGGUGAGUUGCAGCCCUGGAUGUGGGAUGGCCCACUCGGUCUCCCACGAGCCCUGUGUGAGGGGCUGCUCUGAUUAGAGUUUUUCCACAGUUCCGCAUCAAAGGAAAAAGCACUAGACCCUGUACCAUGAUCCCCCACUCUUCUGGCUCGCCUCCCUGUGUUGCACUUUGUAAAUGGAAGGACUGCGUUUAUAUUGUGCUUUUACCCAAAGCGCAUUACAAUAUUGCCUAACAUCCACCCAUUCAUGGACAAAUUCUGUGUCAGCCAUGCAAGGCGACAGCCAGCUCGUCUGCAGUAGUUAGGGUUAGGUGCCUUACUUUGUGUUUUUCCUACUGCUGCUUCUGUGUUCCAUCUGUCUACUUCACCUCACACCUGCUGUGGUGAUGCCUGAUCAGCCAUGGGUUUACUCACAGUUCACAACGAAUAGUUCCCAGAAAGACUCUGAGCAUGUAUGAGUGGGUGUGUGUGCAUGAGAGACGGUGGGAGAAGAAUUAAGGUAUUUAGACUUCAAAUUCAUGUUACGACAUUUUGGUUUCUUUAUGGCUUGUAGACAGAGAGAGUUUGUGUGAGGUUGUGGAGGCGUGAAUGCGUGUGAAUGUUGUCACUGGUCCGAGAGAACUGCGUGCCAGGAUACAGGUGUUACUACAUUACAACCACUGCCAGGAUUUUCGACCACUUAUAGAUCAAUGGAAAAUAUUCGGGCACAAUGUAUCUUUUGUAUAAAAAGUGCAUAUCAAACAAACAUUCCAAAGUAUUUAAUAUGUGCCUUUUGUCCUGAUUUCAGGUAUUCUUUGUGGCAAAGUGAAAUAAACUAUGACUUCAUUUGUCUGUAUUAUUUUCUCCUUAUUAUAUAGUUGGUUUAACUGCUUGCUUGGAUAAGAUAAUAGUUGUGG